AACCCCCAGCUAGGCUGGGGGUUCCGUAAAGCUUUCAGCUAUAAGUCAGUUAUAAAACCCCUUUCAAUUUGUUAAAACAC
rfam:Vibrio cincinnatiensis DSM 19608 genome assembly, contig: BS67DRAFT_scaffold00010.10